ensembl:snRNA U6 U6 spliceosomal RNA
GUGCUUGCUUCGGCAGCACAUAUACUAAAAUUGGAACGAUACAGAGAAGAUUAGCAUGGCCCCUGCGCAAGGAUAACACGAAACUUGAAUUGAUUGCUCUCUCAU